rnacentral:rRNA from 1 species
CUUCCGUAGGUGAACCUGCGGAGGGAUCAUUACUGAGUACUACACUCUCUACCCUUUGUGAACUAUUAUACCUGUUGCUUCGGCGGCGCCCGCAAGGGUGCCCGCCGGUCUCAUCAGAAUCUCUGUUUUCGAACCCGACGAUACUUCUGAGUGUUCUUAGCGAACUGUCAAAACUUUUAACAACGGAUCUCUUGGCUCCAGCAUCGAUGAAGAACGCAGCGAAACGCGAUAUGUAAUGUGAAUUGCAGAAUUCAGUGAAUCAUCGAAUCUUUGAACGCACAUGGCGCCUUCCAGUAUCCUGGGAGGCAUGCCUGUCCGAGCGUCGUUUCAACCCUCGAGCCCCUGUGGCCCGGCGUUGGGGAUCUGCCACGGCAGGCCCCUAAAACCAGUGGCGGACCCGAAGGCCCUCUCCUUUGCGCAGUAGCAUCAGCCUCGCAUUGGGAUCCCUCGGCGUCCUGCCUCUAAGCCCCCCACAAGUCCGCUUCGGCGGCACCAAGGUUGACCUCGGAUCAGGUAGGAAUACCCGCUGAACUUAAGCAUAUCAAUAAGCGGAG